UGGCCUAUUAACUGUGUUUCUGAUUCAGGCC
rnacentral:piRNA from 1 species